UACAGAGGUCUCAAGCGUUGUUCGGAUUCAUUGGGCGUAAAGGGUGUGUAGGUGGCGCCGUAAGUCGGGUGUGAAAUUUUAGAGCUUAACUCUGAAACUGCAUUCGAUACUGCGGUGCUUGAGGACUGGAGAGGAGACUGGAAUUUACGGUGUAGCAGUGAAGUGCGUAGAUAUCGUAAGGAAGACCAGUGGCGAAGGCGGGUCUCUGGACAGUUCCUGACACUGAGACACGAAGGCCAGGGGAGCAAACGGG
rnacentral:rRNA from 1 species